rnacentral:rRNA from 1 species
UGGGGAAUAUUGGGCAAUGGGCGCAAGCCUGACCCAGCAACGCCGCGUGAGGGAAGAAGGCUUUCGGGUUGUAAACCUCUGUCCUUGGUGACGAAAAGAAUGACGGUAGCCAAGGAGGAAGCCCCGGCUAACUACGUGCCAGCAGCCGCGGUAAUACGUAGGGGGCGAGCGUUGUCCGGAAUUACUGGGCGUAAAGGGUGCGUAGGUGGCCUUUUAAGUUGGAUGUGAAAUACCCGGGCUUAACUUGGGGGGUGCAUCUAAUACUGGGAGGCUAGAGUGCAGGAGAGGAAAGCGGAAUUCCUAGUGUAGCGGUGAAAUGCGUAGAUAUUAGGAGGAACACCAGUGGCGAAGGCGGCUUUCUGGACUGUAACUGACACUGAGGCACGAAAGCGUGGGGAGCAUACAG